rnacentral:lncRNA from 1 species
CCAAGUUUCAGAACUAAUCCUCAUAAGAGUUAAUUAAGACUUCCUAGGGGAUUAACAUCUGAGGCUUUUUUGGAGGAUUAAUUAUCAUUUGGUGUUAAUGAUGCAGCCAAACUCUCAGGAGAAGUUGUAAUCUCUGAACUCAGGCCCUGCUUCCUGCCUCAGUCCCAGCUUCGCUGACCUGCUGGUCCUCCCGUGGCCACGAAGGACAAUGGGUGUCUGAAGCCACGCUGGGGAGUGCUCCUUGUCUCCAUCCUAUUAUGGCUGCAGCUUCCCUGGACCAUGAGCUCUGAGUAUGGAAGGGAUGGAAGAGACAGGUGGUACAGUUAGGACAUCAGCAGAAAACGUAUUCUCCAUUCGAGGCCAGAAUGUGGCAUUAAAUGCGUCUGAUUUUCAGAUGGCCGAGGAGGAGUCAGGGGCCCCUUCCAGGGCAGAGAAGAAGGGAGAGGAUGCUAAACCUUCACCAUCCUCUUUCCUCAUAGAACCUCAGCCUUCUCUACAGUGUCAUCGAAGCUUCGUCGUCCCUGUGGCUCUGACACUUUGUGAGAAGUCACUUGGGGGGUCUAUGGACCUAAUCUCGGAAAGACAGUUUGGCUUUCUGAGCCAAUGUGAACAAAUAUGGCCCCAGCGCGUCAUGUCUCCCGGAAGGAGAUUUGGGGACCCGGGCGAUGGGCUCACAAGUACCUUUUCUCUGUCUUUGCUUCCACGUCCUUUCCUGGAGGCAAUGGAUGCCAUAUGUUGGAGCCGCUCAGAAGAUCUCUCUUGA